rnacentral:lncRNA from 1 species
GGAGCUAUUUGUGAUGGCCAAGAUAGAAGGGCACUGAAUAAAUAUCUACAGCUCUCAGGAACUGAAACAUGAUGGCGCAGGAGAUGGAAAGAAAUAUCUCAAAUAGGCAGAGGAACAGAACCUCGCUACCAAAGAGCUUUCAUGAAGCACCCCUGGAGAUCCUGCAGCACUGGAUAUGGGGAAGACAAAGGCACAUUUUUCACUGAUGUUCAUGGGCUUAUGGCAGGACUAAAACUGCAGUUUGGAACUGGCCAGAAGUGGGGAAAAUGGACAACCCUGCUGGUAUCUUGUGAGCCCUUGUCACAGAACAGAGCUUGAACAAUUUCGAUUAAAGCAGUAUGUUCGAGACUGUCAUUAGACCUGCAUUAAAUUACAUAUCUGGAAUGUUAAAAAUAAAGAGUACUGAAGCUUAUUCACCGCUGCCUGUGGUAAAAGCUGAGACAGCCCCAGUUCACCUCUCACUGUGCUCCUGUGUGAAAUUCCUGCUGGAACAGCAGCCCUUCCCUGCUUGGGAAGCACAUGAGACAGACUCGGUAUCCGAUGUUGCACCUGGGAUACAUCACACUCCUCAAGAACAUCUGCAGGCCACAAGGGGGGUUCAGGAGGAUGUGGAGGAGGCCAUCAAACAACCCCAUCCCACCAAGUGGGACCUGUCUGCGUGGUCUCCUUGGAGAGAGGCUCUCACCCUUGCAGAGCUGGGACCACGUUCAUGGGCCAGGAGCAGCCCUGGAGCAGCCCUGCUGGUUGCAUGGGCAGCACUGGGACUGACAGAAGCUUCCCAGAGUGACAGCCCAAGGCUGCCCCCGGUCCAGCCAACGUCCCCGUGCAGCAGCUGUUUUCUCAGGCUGCAAUAUGUGAGGAGAGCUGGUGCUGCCCUGCUGCUCAAAUGGCAAGAAUGUGAACAGAGAAAGCAAUUCAGAGGGCAUUUUCUGUUAAAAUGCAGAGCUGAAUUCCUGUCCUGA